AGAGUUUGAUCAUGGCUCAGGACGAACGCUGGCGAUAUGCUUAACACAUGCAAGUCGAACGAGACAAGAUGGAAGUGCUUGCACGGAAAUCUUAGAAAGUGGCGAACGGGUGAGUAACGCGUGGGUAACCUGCCCUAUGGAAAGGAAUAGCCUCGGGAAACUGGGAGUAAUGCCUUAUAAUAUAAAGAAGUCGCAUGGCUUUUUUAUUAAACGCUCCGGUGCCAUAGGAUGGACCCGCGUCCCAUUAGCUAGUUGGUGAGAUAACAGCUCACCAAGGCGACGAUGGGUAACCGGUCUGAGAGGGCGAACGGUCACACUGGAACUGAGACACGGUCCAGACUCCUACGGGAGGCAGCAGUGGGGAAUAUUGCGCAAUGGGGGAAACCCUGACGCAGCAAUACCGCGUGAGUGAAGAAGGUUUUCGGAUCGUAAAGCUCUGUUAUUGGGGAAG
rnacentral:rRNA from 1 species